GGGUAACCGAGUCCGGACGUUCCCCGCUUGGUGGGCGUGUCAGAGGUGUUACCCAACCAGCUGUCGUAUUACUCGACACACGCUUCGAAACCUCGAUGCGGACGGACACAUCACUAGUGGAACUUAUCGGGAUCCAAGUCGGCCCCUCCCAACUUGGACCGAUCUUCGUUUUUGCUGAAAUCGGAUUGGCUCAACAGGGCCGAUCAAAGAAGUUUACUUUCCAUUUGGAGCGAGUUUAAUCUCCAAACGUCUUGUCAGGGCUGAAGUCAGCUCUGGGUUGUGUGAUAGGCUCAACAGAGAUGCUGUGGAGGUGAUGAACAGGGUGAUGAUGACCCCAGUCAUGUUGAUGAGGAGGGGGAGAGAAGGGACAAGAGGAGGAGGAGGAGAAGGAGGACUGGGAAGAGAAGCAGCAGCAGCAGCAGAAGGAGAAGGUAGAUGGAACCAGACAAAACAGUGAAAGGCCUCCCUAAAUCUCUACAUUCAUAUCUCUUGGCAGUUUUCCCUGCACCUCUCCGUCUUUCCAGCCUCAUUUUGUCUCCAUCCGGACAUUACUUAAGCCUGAUCCUCCAACCCAGAGCCAGGAUGAUGAAAUUCCAAUGUGUCACUUGCAUAACCGGCCACCUUGCUAACAGACACGAUAAUAAUGCCAUGGCCUGCUUUGCUAACAGUCGCCCAGCACACCCAUUUCCCACCAUUAGGCCUGCUUAAGUGUACUAAUCCAUCCACAAAGCUCUCUCAGUAAAGUAUUACUUCUAAAAUAUAAUGUAUUGUUGCAUAAAUGUAUUCAUUCACUGAUGCGUUCAUCCAUUUUAUGUUUUACACAACUAUAAAUGAAUGUAAUGUACAUGCUGUGAAAUAUAAUGGUAAUCCAUGAAAUGCAGAGGAAAGCCUGCCCUAAUCUCUGGAUUUACAUGGUUCUUGGGUAGAAGAGAAGUAUGGCUUGGGUCCCUAUUAGCAUGUUUUGUGUCAAUAUGUCAAAUUUGUAUGCAUCAGGGUCUGUAAUCUCUGAAAAUAAAAUAUAAUUGAGGAAGGUC